ensembl:lncRNA
UCUACUUCAGCAUCAUAAAACUAGAGCUGGAGCAACCAAGCCCUUGUAAAGUCAUUCCUGUUGAGAUGUCCUGAUGCAGUAAGAUGUACAAGUGCAUCAUCUCCAGAAUCAAUAGCCUGAUGGACGAGGAGAGGAAGAAAAGCAAAGCCACCACCCAGCUCUUCAACCUCCUGCCUUGCGCUGUCAAUCCGGGAGAAGAAUCCUUUGGCCUGGUAUAGAUAUUUGUGCUAGGAAGAGAUGAAUUUCACUGUUAUUCCUCUGACAGUAGUGAUGAUGAUAAUGUUGCAGAAAAUCAGUUCCUCCAGCAUAUGGGAAUGUGAAAAAGACCAUAAUGAUUGGAUACAAGAGUGGGAUAUCUUCAGUACAAAUACAGAUGGCUAAGAUGUAGGUAACUACAAAUGCGCUAGACACCUUAGAUGUGCUUUGUAGUCCACAGAGAUAAAUAAGAUACAUCAGAUUUAUUUUACUAGGACAAAAUAAAUUGAUCCUC